AAAGACUGAAGACUACUCCCUUCUUAGAGUU
rnacentral:tRNA from 1 species